rnacentral:rRNA from 1 species
AACGAACGCUGGCGGCGUGCCUAACACAUGCAAGUCGAGCGCGAAGAGGGCAACCUGAGUAGAGCGGCGCACGGGUGCGUAACACGUGGGUAAUCUGCCUUAGAGUCGAGGAUAACCUUCCGAAAGGUUGGCUAAUACUCGGUAAGCUUACGGUGACUUCGGACGCUGUGGGAAAAGUAGGCCUCUGUUUACAAGCUUACGCUCUGAGAUGAGCCCGCGGCCCAUCAGCUAGUUGGCGGUGUAACGGACCACCAAGGCAACGACGGGUAGCUGGUCUGAGAGGGCAAUCAGCCACACUGGAACUGAGACACGGUCAAGACUCCUACGGGAGGCAGCAGUGGGGAAUUUUCCACAAUGGGCGAAAGCCUGAUGGAGCAACGCCGCGUGUGUGAUGAAGGUUUUCGGAUCGUAAAGCACUUUCGACUGGGACGAAAACCUUUGGCUAACAUCCAGGGGCCUGACGGUACCAGGAGAAGAAGCACCGGCUAACUCUGUGCCAGCCGCCGCGGUAAAAC